rnacentral:rRNA from 1 species
GCAAGAUUAAAACUCAAAGGAAUAGACGGGGACCCGCACAAGUGGUGGAGCAUGUGGUUUAAUUCGAAGAUACGCGAAGAACCUCACCUAGCCUUGACAUAUUUUAGAACUCAGCAGAGAUGCAGAGGUGCCUUCGGGAGCUAAUUUACAGGUGCUGCACGGCUGUCGUCAGCUCGUGUCGUGAGAUGUUGGGUUAAGUCCCGCAACGAGCGCAACCCUCGUCACUAGUUACUAACGGUUCGGCCGAGGGCUCUAGUGAGACUGCCUUCGUAAGGAGGAGGAAGGUGAGGACGACGUCAAGUCAUCAUGGCCCUUACGGCUAGGGCAACACACGUGCUACAAUGGCCAGGACAGUGAGACGCAAUACCGCGAGGUGGAGCAAAUCUAUAAACCUGGUCUCAGUUCGGAUUGUUCUCUGCAACUCGAGAACAUGAAGCUGGAAUCACUAGUAAUCGUAGAUCAGCUAUGCUACGGUGAAUACGUUCCCGGGUCUUGUACUCACCGCCCGUCACACCAUGGGAGUUGAUUUCACCCGAAGCGGGGAAGCUAAACUGGCUACCCUCCACGGUGGAAUUAGCGACUGGGGUGAAGUCGUAACAAGGUA